GACAGAGGGUGCGAACGUUGCUCGGAAUUACUGGGCGUAAAGCGCGUGCAGGCGGCCGUGCACGUCCGGGGUGAAAGCCCGGGGCUCAACCCCGGAAGCGCCUCGGAGACGACGCGGCUGGAGUGCUGGAGAGGAGGGCGGAAUUCCCGGUGUAGAGGUGAAAUUCGUAGAUAUCGGGAGGAACACCAGUGGCGAAGGCGGCCCUCUGGACAGCGACUGACGCUGAGACGCGAAAGCGUGGGUAGCAAACAGG
rnacentral:rRNA from 1 species